rnacentral:rRNA from 1 species
CUACGGAGGGUGCAAGCGUUACUCGGAAUCACUGGGCGUAAAGCGCGCGCAGGCGGUCUUUUAAGUUGGAUGUGAAAGCCUACGGCUCAACCGUAGAACUGCAUCCAAAACUAUUAGACUAGAGUGUGGGAGAGGAAGAUGGAAUUAGUUGUGUAGGGGUAAAAUCCGUAGAGAUAACUAGGAAUACCAAAAGCGAAGGCAAUCUUCUGGAACACUACUGACGCUGAGGCGCGAAAGCGUGGGGAGCAAACAGGAUUAGAAACCCUAGUUAGUCC